rnacentral:rRNA from 1 species
UACGUAGGGGGCAAGCGUUAUCCGGAUUUACUGGGUGUAAAGGGAGCGUAGACGGCGGUGCAAGCCAGAUGUGAAAGCCCGGGGCUCAACCCCGGGACUGCAUUUGGAACUGGGGAUCUAGAGUGUGCGAGAGGUAUGCGGAAUGCGUGGUGUAGCGGUGAAAUGCAUAGAUAUCACGCAGAACCCCGAUUGCGAAGGCAGCAUACCGGUGCACAACUGACGCUCAGGCACGAAAGCGUGGGUAUCGAACAGG